UACGAAGGGGGCUAGCGUUGCUCGGAAUUGACUGGGCGUAAAGCGCACGUAGGCGGCUUUCUAAGUCGGGGGUGAAAUCCUGGAGCUCAACUCCAGAACUGCCUUCGAUACUGGAGCUUGAGUCCGGGAGAGGUGAGUGGAACUGCGAGUGUAGAGGUGAAAUUCGUAGAUAUUCGCAAGAACACCAGUGGCGAAGGCGGCUCACUGGCCCGGUACUGACGCUGAGGUGCGAAAGCGUGGGGAGCAAACAGGG
rnacentral:rRNA from 1 species